rnacentral:lncRNA from 1 species
AGAGCAAAAAAAACAAGGCAUCAGUAUUGUUGAGUAUUAGCUUGUACCUGGUUCGGAGGCUAAGGGAACUCACCAAUCCUGCCCUUGUUGCAGUCCCCUAGAGUUGCGUUGGGGGCCUCAUCCUCAGUACAGCUCAGCCCCAGUUCGAGAACUCCCUGGACCUGGGCUCAGCCAAGCUGCCCAGAACCCGCCCGGCCUUCUCUAGCCCACCACCUUCCCCGGUGCACAGCAUCGGAAAAUGCCAGCAGACCAGCUAUUAGACUCAUCCCGACCUAACAGCGCUAACAGAUGGCGACCAGGCAGCGAAAUCCCCUCCUAUAUGUAACUAAUAAACCGCUUGUGUCUUAACAGGGUAA